rnacentral:rRNA from 1 species
GACGAACGCUGGCGGCGUGCUUAACACAUGCAAGUCGAACGGUAAGGCCCUUCGGGGUACACGAGUGGCGAACGGGUGAGUAACACGUGGGUGAUCUGCCCUGCACUUCGGGAUAAGCCUGGGAAACUGGGUCUAAUACCGGAUAGGACUCCGGACUGCAUGGUCUGGGGUGGAAAGCUUUUGCGGUGUGGGAUGGGGCCGCGGCCUAUCAGCUUGUUGGUGGGGUGAUGGCCUACCAAGGCGACGACGGGUAGCCGGCCUGGGAGGGUGACCGGCCACACUGGGACUGAGAAACGGCCCAGACUCCUACGGGAGGCAGCAGUGGGGAAUAUUGCACAAUGGGCGCAAGCCUGAUGCAGCGACGCCGCGUGAGGGAUGACGGCCUUCGGGUUGUAAACCACUUUCAGCAUCGACGAAGCGAAAGUGACGGUAGGUGCAGAAGAAGGACCGGCCAACUACGUGCCAGCCGCCGCCGUAA